UACGAGGGGUGCAAGCGUUGCUCGGAAUCAUUGGGCGUAAAGGGUAGGUAGGUGGUCUCAUUUGUCUGGGGUGAAAGCCUUGAGCUUAACUCAAGAAGUGCCUCGGAAACGGUGAGACUGGAGUCCUGGAGAGGGUCGUGGAAUUCCCGGUGUAGCGGUGAAAUGCGUAGAUAUCGGGAGGAAUACCGAUGGCGAAGGCAGGUCUCUGGGCUAUAACUGACGCUCAUGCACGAAAGCGUGGGGAGCAAACAGG
rnacentral:rRNA from 1 species